rnacentral:lncRNA from 1 species
GGGGAAGCGAAAGCAGCAAUGCGGCUGCCAGGGCUGGCAGGAAGGAGCUGCUUCAAGGCUUUCUGAUUCAAUGAAGCUGGUGCAACACGCUGCAGUUGGGAAAGGCACUGAAAAGUAAACUAAACAAAAGGGGGGACCAGUCUGGUGUCACUGUCAUAAGCAAAGGAUUCUGUAGCAACACAGACGUGAAGCCAGAAGACUUCAAACAAAUGCAGCAGACUACCAUGCAUACUAAGGGACCUCACGCUGACAG